rnacentral:rRNA from 1 species
AUCAUUAACUGAAUCCAUAGGUUAAUGAGGCGAACCGGGGGAACUGAAACAUCUAAGUACCCCGAGGAAAAGAAAUCAACCGAGAUUCCCCCAGUAGCGGCGAGCGAACGGGGAGGAGCCCAGAGCCUGAAUCAGCAUGUGUGUUAGUGGAAGCGUCUGGAAAGGCGCGCGAUACAGGGUGACAGCCCCGUACACAAAAGCGCAUGUGUUGUGAGCUCGAUGAGUAGGGCGGGACACGUGGUAUCCUGUCUGAAUAUGGGGGGACCAUCCUCCAAGGCUAAAUACUCCUGACUGACCGAUAGUGAACCAGUACCGUGAGGGAAAGGCGAAAAGAACCCCGGCGAGGGGAGUGAAAAAGAACCUGAAACCGUGUACGUACAAGCAGUGGGAGCACCCUUUUGGGUGUGACUGCGUACCUUUUGUAUAAUGGGUCAGCGACUUAUAUUCUGUAGCAAGGUUAACCGAAUAGGGGAGCCGGAGGGAAACCGAGUCUUAAUUGGGCGUUAAGUUGCAGGGUAUAGACCCGAAACCCGGUGAUCUAGCCAUGGGCAGGUUGAAGGUUGGGUAACACUAACUGGAGGACCGAACCGACUAAUGUUGAAAAAUUAGCGGAUGACCUGUGGCUGGGGGUGAAAGGCCAAUCAAACCGGGAGAUAGCUGGUUCUCCCCGAAAGCUAUUUAGGUAGCGCCUCGUGAA